rnacentral:rRNA from 1 species
AGUGAACGCUGGCGGUAGGCCUAACACAUGCAAGUCGAACGGCAGCACAGUAAGAGCUUGCUCUUACGGGUGGCGAGUGGCGGACGGGUGAGGAAUACAUCGGAAUCUACUUUUUCGUGGGGGAUAACGUAGGGAAACUUACGCUACUACCGCAUACGACCUACGGCUGAAAGCAGGGGAUCUUCGGACCUUUCGCGAUUGAAUGAGCCGAUGUCGGAUUAGCUAGUUGGCGGGGUAAAGGCCCACCAAGGCGACGAUCCGUAGCUGGUCUGAGAGGAUGAUCAGCCACACUGGAACUGAGACACGGUCCAGACUCCUACGGGAGGCAGCAGUGGGGAAUAUUGGACAAUGGGCGCAAGCCUGAUCCAGCCAUACCGCGUGGGUGAAGAAGGCCUUCGGGUUGUAAAGCCCUUUUGUUGGGAAAGAAAAGCAGCAGGUUAAUACCCCGCUGUUCUGACGGUACCCAAAGAAUAAGCACCGGCUAACUUCGUG